AUGCAAGGAGAAAUGGUAAGUGGAAGUGAGGCUAUCUACCGGGGUAGAUUUAUUCCAUGGGACAGAGGUCAGGCUAUGUGCCAGGGUAGGUUUAUUCCAUGGGACAGAGGUCAGGCUAUGUGCCAGGGUAGGUUUAUUCCAUGGGACAGAGGUCAGGCUAUGUGCCAGGGUAGGUUUAUUCCAUGGGACAGAGGUCAGGCUAUGUGCCAGGGUAGGUUUAUUCCAAUGGGACAGAGGUCAGGCUAUGUGCCAGGGUAGGUUAUAUUCCAUGGGGACAAGAGGUCAGGCUAUGUGCCGGGUAGGUUUAUCCAUGGGCAGAGGUCAGGCUAUGUGCCAGGGUAGGUUUAUUCCAUGGGACGAGGUCAGGCUAUGUGCCAGGUAGGUGUUAUUCCAUGGGACAGAGGUCAGUAGUGCCAGGGUAGGUUUAUUCCAUGGGAAGAGGUCAGGCUAUGUGCCAGGGUAGGUUUAUUUCCAUUGGACAGAGGUCAGGCUAUGAUGCCAGGGUAGGUUUAUUUCCAUGGGACAGAGGUCAGGCUAUGUGCCAGGGUAAGGUUUAUUCCAUGGGACAGAGGGUCAGGCUAUGUGCCAGGGUAGGUUUAUUCCAUGGGACAGAGGUCAGGCUAUGUGCCAGGGUAGGUUUAUUCCAAUGGACAGAGGUCAGGCUAUGUGCAGGGUAGUUUAGUCCAUGGGAAGA
rnacentral:lncRNA from 1 species